CAUUAUUUCUGGCCGUGUGAUAAAUGCAAUGAAUAUGGGAGCUGUGAUGACAUCACUAACAACACAUGCAGCUGCAUCAAUGAUAUUCCAAGUGACAGACAGUUCUGUCAAACAGUCAGCGAGAUAACAAAUACCACAGCAUGUGGGCAACCACCAUCAGUUUCAUCUGAAUAUCUUAUUGAAAUUCAGAUAGAUGCAGAGAAUACUGCCAUCACUGAUCAGCUGAGGAACCUUCUGAUGUCUUUCAGUUUGCCCUACACAAUCAGUAACAGCACUAACAUUACAGAAAUCAACAUAAACUACUGUGUGUUCACUGAACCAAACACAGUAUCAGUGUAAAUGUGAGGGUCUGUUUGUUUGGCCGAAUGGACACGUGUCACUCAUACAAGGCCUGUGAUGACAUCGCUGAUGGUUCAUGUACAUGUAUCAAUGCCCUUCCAAUCAACGGACAGUUCUGCCAGUUAAAAGAAGUACCUUCUGACUAUUUGAUUGACAUUGAUGUGAGAUUCUUUGACUUGUUCCUGGUGGACUACUUACGGAAUCUCUUCACAAACAUCAGUCUUCCUCUCACUCUGAGCAACAGCAUAAAUAUCACAGAUAUCGGCAUGAAUACUGUGUGUGGGUUAAAUGGUACAAAAUAUGAGUGCAAGUGUGAGGAGAAUCAUGUUUGGCCCGGUGACACCUGCAGGGCCUAUCAGGUGUGUGAUGGCAUUGUGGGAGG